UACGGGGGGGGCAAGCGUUGUUCGGAAUUACUGGGCGUAAAGGGCUCGUAGGUGGCCAACUAAGUCAGACGUGAAAUCCCUCGGCUUAACCGGGGAACUGCGUCUGAUACUGGAUGGCUUGAGUUCGGGAGAGGGAUGCGGGAAUUCCAGGUGUAGCGGUGGAAUGCGCAGAUAUCAGGAGGAACACCGGUGGCGAAGGCGGCUCGCUGGGACGGUACUGACGCUGAGGCGCGAAAGCGUGGGGGAGCAAACAGG
rnacentral:rRNA from 1 species